rfam:Camelus ferus unplaced genomic scaffold scaffold157, whole genome shotgun sequence.
GAGGGUAUAGCUCAGUGGUAGAGCACAUGCUUAGCAUGCAUGAGGUCCUGGGUUCAAUCUCCAGUACCUCCA